rnacentral:rRNA from 1 species
CUAGCAUAUCAAUAAGCGGAGGAAAAGAAACCAACAGGGAUUGCCCUAGUAACGGCGAGUGAAGCGGCAACAGCUCAAAUUUGAAAUCUGGCGCAAGCCCGAGUUGUAAUUUGUAGAGGAUGCUUCUGGGUAGCGGCCGGUCUAAGUUCCUUGGAACAGGACGUCAUAGAGGGUGAGAAUCCCGUAUGUGACUGGCUUGCACCCUCCACGUAGCUCCUUCGACGAGUCGAGUUGUUUGGGAAUGCAGCUCUAAAUGGGAGGUAAAUUUCUUCUAAAGCUAAAUACCGGCCAGAGACCGAUAGCGCACAAGUAGAGUGAUCGAAAGAUGAAAAGCACUUUGGAAAGAGAGUUAAAAAGCACGUGAAAUUGUUGAAAGGGAAGCGCCCGCAACCAGACUUUGCGGCAGUGUUCGGCCGGUCUUCUGACCGGUUUACUCGCUGUCGUGAGGCCAUCAUCGUCUGGGACCGCUGGAUAAGACCUUAGGAAUGUGGCUCCCCUCGGGGAGUGUUAUAGCCUCUGGUGAUGCAGCGCGUCUCGGGCGAGGUCCGCGCUUCGGCAAGGAUGAUGGCGUAAUGGUUGUCGGCGGCCCGUCUUGAAACACGGACCAAGGAGUCUAACAUCUAUGCGAGUGUUCGGGUGUCAAACCCCUACGCGUAAUGAAAGUGAACGGAGGUGGGAACUUUUUGUGCACCAUCGACCGAUCCUGAUGUCCUCGGAUGGAUUUGAGUAAGAGCAUAGCUGUUGGGACCCGAAAGAUGGUGAACUAUGCCUGAAUAGGGUGAAGCCAGAGGAAACUCUGGUGGAGGCUCGCAGCGGUUCUGACGUGCAAAUCGAUCGUCAAAUUUGGGUAUAGGGGCGAAAGACUAAU